rnacentral:rRNA from 1 species
UACGGAGGGGGCUAGCGUUGUCCGAAGUUACUGGGCGUAAGGCGCGCGUAGGCGGGUUGGUAAGUCCGCUGUGAAAGCCCGGAGCUUAACUCCGGAGGGUCGGUGGAUACUGCCAGUCUUGAAGGUGCUAGGGGGAGAUGGAAUUACCGGUGUAGCGGUGAAAUGCGUAGAUAUCGGUAGGAACACCAGUGGCGAAGGCGGUCUCCUGGGGCAUUCUUGACGCUGAGGCGCGAAAGCUGGGGGAGCAAACGGG